GCAGAGUAGGUAAACGGCGUUAAGUGCCACAGAACGGGAUGUUGACUGUGGACGAAAGGAAAAUUCCUGCGGUCGUUUUCCGCAUCCG
rnacentral:ncRNA from 1 species